rnacentral:lncRNA from 1 species
UCUUAUAAAGUACAAUUGUAGUACACAUUGUACCGAUAUUGUAUUGACAAUCUUCUUCAUAAUAGUUCGAAUAUAUAUUCAUUCUCUUGUUACUGCCAUCCCAUCAAAGCACUUUUGGUUGUUUAGUUUUUCUUUUUGUAAUAAUCAAUAUGUAAGUCUAUAUAUUGGUUCACUUCAACAUUUUUAUGUGCAAAUUUAACAAUUUUCAGGGUCUUUUUUUGGGGGGGGGGGUGUGCAGAUGAAGAGCAUGUAAAGGAGACGUUACUUGAAGGGAUUAUUCGUCCGUCAUUCUAUUUCCUCUGCAUUUCCAGGUAAUUAAUUGUCCCCUGUUUUUUUAAAAAAAAUUGAAAGAGGAUCUUUCUUCUUGUACCAUUACUUCUAAACAAGCGAACAAAAUUAUUUGGCAUGUGGCUUUGCAUGACACUACUUUAAAUUAACAUUAUUAAAAACAAUGACAAUUAAAGUAGUUUCCUGCAAACUCACAAACCAAAUAAAACUCUCUCCAAUAACUCUUUAUACUAAUAUUAUUAUUCUUGGAAAAAUAAGUCGAUCGAUUUGAAAUUUUGAACCUAUGUUUUGCAAUUAAAGUAGAAAAAUCUAAACUUAAAGAGUCAUUUCCAGAAUUUUUCGUCGUCUCUUAAAAGUUAUCUUUUCUGUCAACAUUAAUUUCUCUCAAUUAAAGGUUGUGUUUUGUCAUCCAAAGCAACAACGAAGGUCAGAGUUCUAGAUGAGUGAGGAGGGAACUGAAUUUUAGAUGGGUGAGAUACAUGGCUUAGGUCCAGCAUAGAAUUGUGGAUCGAAUCAUCCAUUCAAAUCCAAAAGUUUAUUUCAAAAAUGAACUUGGUUAGAAUUUAAUAUUUGUUUUCUAUAUGAAUCGUGCCUUGAAUAAAAAAAUAAGUUUAUUUUCGAGUUGGGUUAAGUCCGAGUUUAAAAAAUUGAUCUAGAUAUUUUGUAUGUACCCGAUUCGACCCGAUCCAUGUGCAUCUCUAGUCAAGCCUCUUGAACUUGGUAGGUGAUGUAAAAAUUCGGCUUCAUCGGUUUGAUAGACUAAUGUUAUGGACUGUACAUUAAAACCCGUGAUCAAAUCAAACAAAAUCAUUUAAGGAUGUCAAUUGAUUAAAUUGAAUUCACUUAACCUAUUUGGAUCGACUCAAUUCAUAAAACAUAUAGAAAAUUUAUAUACUUGUAAUUUGGUAGUUUAGUGGAACACUUGUGAGUAUUUAUCCUAACAUUUAGUAUGAAUUAUUUCUGUUGGCUUAAACUUCCGUGACACUAACACGUGGCUCUACCAUUAUACAAUCUACAAGUUUGUGUUCCAUUCACAAUGUUGUUGCAGAGUAAAUUCUCCUGGUUCUUUCUUGUCAGAUGUGAUAUAUCAAAGGCAUCACUAAAAUUUUCCCAUGGCUGUGUUAUCAAAUUAAAGGAAACGUGGUAAAAUAACAUAAUGGCAGUGGCAGAGGCAUCGCGAUAUUUACCAAAUUUUCCCGACUGAUUUGAGCCGUACGACUUAUUGCUUGAAUCUUCCUAUCAAUGCUUCGAAGGUUUCUACACAUCCCUUUCUCUAACAUCAGUCAGUCAAAUGAAAAGGCGUUGUGAUCAUGCAUUUGUUACCCUGUGAAACGACACGUUUAGCCUACAAUCAUUCAAGCACUUCCAUUACGAAAUUUCGUUGUACCCAUACAACACAAAAGGGCAAAACAAAAGAUUCUUAAAUUAAAUUAACCAACAAUUUAACCAUGGCAAUGGAACAAAUUAGGAUACAUAGCCCGGAAAGUGUGGCCCCAAUGUGCACAUGCUCUCAACAAAGCAUGUCGGAACAAAGAUUUGGGUGCCCUAAUUAGCAUCAAUGAAAUCUACAAACGCCACAGUUUAGACCGACCUGUAGAGGAAAAUAACUAAUACAAAAACACAUCUACUUUACAACCAAAAUGCUGUGGGACAGAAUGAUUCUAAACAAAUGGUCUUAAAUUAUAAUUACUAAUAUUCAAAAUAUUCAAAAAUAUAUGCAUUAAUGCAUAUCCACAAGAAUCUUCCAUCACAUCCAGUUCGCCCAUUAUAGCUGGAACAAACCCAUGUCUGAACCCACCCUUAUAUUAUUAUAUAUACACCAACACAUAUUUGUAUAUGAUAUCCAUCACAUCUAGCUAUUGUUGCAUUAUUAUAUUCUUAUUUGUGCCGUAUAAGAGGUGGAGUACUAAAUGUACACCUUCCCCCUAAACCUGAAUCUGCAUAAUGACAGCUUCAAACAGUCUUUAAUUCUAUAUUCCCUUUUUGACAGGGCUGAUUAGUAUAUAUUGAAAAAAAAAAAAGUAAACUCAGCCAGGCCCAACAUCACGGUCUACUAAUUUUAUUUUUCUUUCUUUUUUAUUUGUUUCACUUCUUUGUUUCCUUUUGCUAUUUUUGCAGUGGUUUUUUUGUUUUUAAGGGAUAAAUAGUAUAACUAAAUUUUCAUUUUAAUUUUAAUAUGUACUUUUAUAUUUAAAAUUUUAAUUAUAUUCAAUUCUUAUAAAUUAUUAAUAUAAUUAUUGAUAUAGUAUAUGUUUAUGUUUAUAUACUCUAUAUAUAAAUAAUUAUAUUUAUCAUUUAAAAAAUAAGUUGAUCUAUUUAUUUUUUUAAAUGUGUAAUUAAAUCAAAUUAAAAUUUUAUAUAAACAUUUCAAAAUCUAAUCAAAAUUGUAUUCUAAUCAAAAUUCAUAUAAUUUCUGACUUAAUUAUAGAAUGUUAAACAUUAGGUGAUAGACUAUAGUAUUUAAAAUAAAGAAAAAUUAUUUGUUUGCCCGUAAGUGGAAUUAAAAAAUUCGACAAGUAGAAGUAAGACAUUGCAUGUGUCUUUAGAUAAUAUUAAAAAAUAAAAAUUAGUUAAAGUAGAUAUAUUCAUUCAUUUAACCUUAAACAACCAACAAAACAAUAACACUAAAAUUUAAAUAAAAAAAAACAUAGCAUUUUAUGAAGUUAACAAUUAAUAUGUAACCAUAGAUUUUAGUUUUUCUUUUUCCAUUUUUGGUUCUUCAUGUUUCUUUAAUAAGCUAUGUCUGACCUAAGUUUUUUUUUUCUUGUUACUAAUAUUCAGAUUAAAAAUGAUAACAAAAUAUUGAAAAAUAGAAGGGAAAAAAAUCUAUCUCAACAUUGCCGGGGCAAAUUCUAGUUAAUUAAUCAAUCUCAGAAAGGGGGAAAAUACCUCUCCCCCCCCCCCAAAAAAAAAAAAAAAGAAUUCUUAGAGUAACAAAUAUUUUAAAGAGAGAAAAAAAUUGAACCGGCCAACAUGUAUAAUUAAUAUAUAUGCAUGGUUUAAAGAUCUUUCCAUGGUUUGAUCUCAGAGUCAUCCCAUGGAAUGUUGAGAUCAGUAGAGACAAGUGCAUCAAUAUCAUCCCAAUUCCAGUAGUUUGCCAUUUCAAUGCCAUUGCUGGUAAUAGGUUCUUGCCAGGUCAGUGAACCAGUUGGAUCCUCCCUCGUUUCUCCACUAUAGUUGUAGAGACUCGAAGACUGAAACGAGGCUGAUAUUGAUGAUGGGAAUGUUUCCAAAGAAUAUGAGCUUGAACUUGAAAAUGGAAACGGCAAAGGAAAUGGAGUCUGUAAGCCUUGAGACAUGGUAGAAUCUAAGCAGACUCCAUUGUUUCUGCUGAAAAUUUCUCUCUCCGAGUUUCUGCAAUUUACAGAAUUUUGCUGCAACGGUGAAUGAAAUUUGAUGUUCGGUAUGUACUUUUGAUCGGCAGGCGGAAGCUGAUGCGGUUGAAUAGCGGAAGAGGUGGAGCUUUUGAUGGUAGUUGUGGUUGUUUUACUGGCAGAAGCGGCGGCGGAUGUCUGAUGCCGCUUGUUUUUACGGCCUCCACCAACGGGAACAUUGCGAAGAUUACCACCUUUAGUCCAAUGUCUUUUACAGGUCUUGCAAAAAUACCUAG